UCAUCUGCAAAGACUACCAGAAUGACGGGCUGCAUUUCAGGCAACCAUCGGUUAUGGGUGUGCAACAAGAAGUUGAGAGGCUCAAAGUACGGGUUCACGAGCAUGAGAAACUUCUGAGAGAGUGCGAGGCACUUAAGGCACAGGUGAGAAUGCUGGU